AGCUCCAAUAGCGUAUAUUAAAGUUGUUGCAGUUAAAAAGCUCGUAGUUGAAUUUCUGUCAAGUCUCGUCUGCGUGCAAAUUGUACUGCAAGGCCUGAUUUGAUAUCCUUCAGGUGUUGCGAAUUGCUUAAUUGUAGUUCGGAGCGUCCUGGACAGUUACUUUGAGAAAAUUAGAGUGUUUCAAGCAGGCAUCCGCCUUGAAUACUACAGCAUGGAAUAAUAAGAUAGGACUUUGGUUCUUUCUUGUUGGUUCGGAGAACUAAGGUAAUGAUUAACAGGGACAGUCGGGGGCAUUCGUAUUUAACUGUCAGAGGUGAAAUUCUUAGAUUUGUUAAAGACGAACUACUGCGAAAGCAUUUGCCAAGGAUGUUCCCA
rnacentral:rRNA from 1 species